CGGGGUGCAGCAGGCGCGAAAACUUUGCAAUACACGAAAGUGUGACAGGGCUAUCCCGAGUGCCAUCCGCUGAGGAAGGCUUUUACCCAGUCUAGAAAGCUGGGGGAAUAAGGAGAGGGCAGGUCUGGUGUCAGCCGCCGCGGUAAUACCAGCUCUCCGAGGGGUGUGGAUGUUUAUUGGGCCUAAAGCAUCCGUAGCUGGCUAAGUUAGUCCCUUGUUAAAUCCACCGAAUUAAUCGUUGGAUUGCGGGGGAUACUGCUUGGCUAGGGGACGAGAGAGGCAGACGGUAUUUCCGGGGUAGGGGUGAAAUCCUAUAAUCCCGGGAAGACCACCAGUGGCGAAGGCUGUCUGCUAGAACGCGCCCGACGGUGAGGGAUGAAAGCUGGGGGAGCGAGCCGGAUUAGAUACCCGGGUAGUCCCAGCUGUAAACGAUGCAGGCUAGGUGUUUGGGCGGCCACGUGCCGCUCUAGUGCCGCAGGGAAGCUGUUAAGCCUGCCGCCUGGGGAGUACGGUCGCAAGAUUGAAACUUAAAGGAAUUGGCGGGGGAGCAC
rnacentral:rRNA from 1 species